rnacentral:lncRNA from 1 species
AACAUCUUUUAACAAUGAAAACUUCACCACAAAUUAUUUAUAAUCAUACCUGAGAUCUCAAGGGUCUUUGAUCACAAAAACUUCAAUUCUUUUCGUCAAUCUUCAUCUUCUAAUUCUUCGAGACUCCGUCCAAACCUUCACGAAAUUCGCCAACUUAUAAAAAUCCUUAACAAUCUCCCCCUUUGGCGAUUUCGUGACAAAAUACAAAAAGAAUUUACAAUGCUUAUCCAAAGACAAAAAUAAGAAGGUUAUUGCAAUCACCAAACAACAACCUUCUGCGUGAUCGAUCCAAUAAAAACAUAAUUACAUUUUUAACAUCCUAAUACAGACUCUAUGACUUAGGACAUGACAUAGAAUCUCGAAGUCUUGAAAUACCCUGCAAAACAAUCUCCACACACUUC